UACGGAGGGUGCGAGCGUUGUCCGGAUUUAUUGGGCGUAAAGAGCUCGUAGGCGGCUUGUCGCGUCGAAUGUGAAAUCUCAGGGCUCAACUCUGACAUUGCAUUCGAUACGGGCAGGCUCGAGUUCGGUAGGGGAGACUGGAAUUCCUGGUGUAGCGGUGAAAUGCGCAGAUAUCAGGAGGAACACCGGUGGCGAAGGCGGGUCUCUGGGCCGAUACUGACGCUGAGGAGCGAAAGCGUGGGGAGCGAACAGG
rnacentral:rRNA from 1 species